rnacentral:rRNA from 1 species
UACGUAGGGUGCGAGCGUUGUCCGGAAUUAUUGGGCGUAAAGGGCUCGUAGGCGGUUUGUCGCGUCGGGAGUGAAAUCCACUGGCUUAACUGGUGGCUUGCUUUCGAUACGGGCAGACUGGAGGUAUGCAGGGGGAGAACGGAAUUCCUGGUGUAGCGGUGAAAAUGCGCAGAUAUCAGGAGGAACACCGGUGGCGAAGGCGGUUCUCUGGGCAUUAACUGACGCUGAGGAGCGAAAGUGUGGGGAGCGAACAGG